rnacentral:misc_RNA from 1 species
GUCGUAAUGUUUAUUGUAGUUGUUGGUAUGACAAGAAUACUAGUUUUGCAAAAUACUUUUUGUUAGUAUUAGCACAGAAGCCAAUUGUUUUGAAGGCAUGUAGUUUAGUACAAGUUACAAUGGAUCUUUUGGCCAAGGGAGAAUGUUUGAAGAAUGCGCCAAAAUCUUUCGUAUUUUAUUGGCAAAUUGGAGACGAAACAAUAAUCAACUUCAUGACAAUGAAUUAAACGAAAACUUGGAAGAUUUGAUUUUACCAAGCAAUGAAGACUGGCGUUAUCGAGUCUAUUAUCAACUGGUUGAAUUACAAAGAGAAUCUGGUGCCAUUUUUAUAAAAAACAGGGUCAACGAAACUAGAUUGGAAACUGAAACAAAGUUAGAAGUGAGACGUAAGAAAAAUGAGUGGGAAUGGGAGCCACAGAGAUACGGAUAUAGUUUUAAGGCUAAGCCUAGGCAACAAGAAGGAUUGAAAGGAGGAUCAUCGACUAUCGUCGAUGGUUCGAUGAUAGAAAUGUGCAUCGAGCCAGGUUGGCGCCUUAACGAUAUUUUAUUGGCGGUGAAGGUCCUUCGAAAAACUAGUCCACCUCCAGUAUAUUCAGAUGAGGCUGAGAUGCGUCGUGUAUUCGGGCUUGUUUAUGAUGUUUUUAGAUAUAAAAAAAUAUUCACUCGAGCUUUGGAAGAUAUAGGUUUUUGGCAACGUAACAGGGCGAUCAAGAACGAAGAAAAGAUCGUUUGGUUGUUAUUAUAUGACAUGCAAGGAAGAAAAUUUUCGAAACCGCGAUUUGAUAACACUACCUUUGAAGAACGUGAAAAGAUCUUUAAGGCUGCUGGAUUGACGGAUAUCGACCACGCUCUUUCGGAGAUGAAAAUCCAUCUUGCCGCAAGCAUUUCGCGGCUACGUAUUCGCGGUUCUGCCCUCAAACUUGAUGAAUUGCUACCGAGUCAUUUACGCGACAUCGAAGGUGUCACUUGGGGCGUACAAACGGCUGUCGCUUCUGGAUGGAUAAACACCUUGAAAUUUGUCAACAAGGAAGAAUUUCUAAAAGAAAUGUCGGAAUUGAAGUUGAAAUAUUGCGAAACAAAAAAAGAAUUGAUAGAACUUGAAGAAAAUGAGUUUGCAUUCGAUCCUAUUUGCCCGAAAAUAAUUUAUUUGCACGACAGCAAGCGGGAAAUGCUGGCUGUUUCCAGGCUCGUUUGUAAUCAUCGUUUUGUAUUUUUAGAGAGAUCAUUGUGCUUGGGUGCGGCAACAUUGGCACAGGUAAUCCGUAACUGUAGAUUCUAUGGCCCGGUGAUUUUAACGCAUUCACUUGCACCUCGACAUACCGGAUAUCUGGCCGGACUAUUGGCCGAUAUUGAAUACGCUGGUAAACUUUUGGUCUUCGGAGCUGGUGAUCGUCGUUGCGAGUACGAAAACUAUCUAAAAGAUCUUGAUGUCACAUUGCAACAAUGUCGCGUUUUUUCCGAAAAAUACGUGUCUCAUCUAUCGACGAUCGAGACAGAGAGAGCAACUGUAGUGCUGGCAGUUCCAACGUGUACUUAUACGGGUGUCCGAGAUAUCGUCGAUCUUGCAGUAGCACGAGGAGGAGAUGUAGAUCUUCUUGAAUCGUUGACGAAUAAUUACGUUCACAAUGUUCAUAAUAAUGACAAUGAUGACAAUAAUAAAUAUUACAAAAAUCAGGAACAAUGGCAUAGUUUCUUAUCCGAUCAAAUGUCCACUUUGAAAUAUGCUUUGACCAGGCCGAAUGUACAAUUUCUCAUAUACGAAGUACACACAAUUUUACCAUCAGAAACAACGCAAAUGGUUCGGGAAGUGGUAGAGUGCGUUAAUCAGAUGGCUAAGGAAAAAUAUAUUCAUGAAAAUCCGAAAAAAGCUCAAAAAGAAAUGUCAAAAUUGGCAAAAAUGGACGAGGAUUCGCAAAAAAAUGAUAAUAUCUCGAUAAAUACUUCAAAUAUUAUUAUUCCAGAUACCGAUCUCUUCGAAGUAGGCAACAUUGAUGACAUUUACGGACAAAAUGUUAGCCACAUGCUGGAUCCAGGAUGUUUUCUCGCGAUAAUAAAACGAAAAGAAAUGAUGCAAUUUGAUUCGUUGUUCAUGAUCAAAGUGGCAGAAUCGAAAGAUCUAUUCGGUAAUUCGAAAGCGCAACAUUCGAAACACGAACUAAUUCUGAACCGAGGAAUACAAACCUCGCAAUCAAGCACACGAAAACGAGCAAAACGUAUCAAGGUGGAAAUAGACCGAUUAAUGGCGCAUACGUAUUCCUCGUUAUCAAAAACCGGACAAGAAAAUCAAAUUUGUCCACGACAUAAACAUUGCUCCAAUUGGAGUGAAGGAAAUGAGUAUCAGUUCAAGUUUAAAGCGUGGCGAAAAGAAAAAAGAAAUGUGUCUCAUAAACCCUUAUACGUUUCUUCAUCGCGACAUAAGGAAUUACAAGCGAUACGUAAAAUAUUUUCGGCCCGAUCAGAAAGUAAUGCAUCUACUUCACAUGACAUACCGAAACACGAUAAAUCUUCUAUAUUGACUAAUUUGCUCAGCAUUGAAUCUCUGCCACGACAUAUAAACUGUAUCGCUUGGAUAAAGGGCCAUCGGACAAAGCCUCGAUGAAAGAAGAUGACGUUCUUUACGCAUUGAAAGCGAUGCACUAUAUCAGACGAAUAGAAAGCAAAGCGGCAGAAAUGUACAGAUUGCGUUUCAUCUAUGGUUUCCUUCAUUUAUAUAUUGGUCAGGAAGCAAUAGCCACUGGUAUGAAACCGGCGAUAUCGGAAAAAGACGCUUUGAUCACAUCUUAUCGGUGUCAUGGAUUUGCUGUGGUACUUGGCAUUUCGGCACGACACAUUUUUGCGGAAUUAAUGGGUCGAACAACUGGA